CUUGUAGGCGGUUUGUCGCGUCUGCCGUGAAAAUCCGGGGCUCAACCCCGGACUUGCGGUGGGUACGGGCAGACUAGAGUGUGGUAGGGGAGACUGGAAUUCCUGGUGUAGCGGUGAAAUGCGCGAGAUAUCAGGAGGAACACCGAUGGCGAAGGCAGGUCUCUGGGCCACUACUGACGCUGAGAAGCGGAAGCGUGGGGAGCGAACA
rnacentral:rRNA from 1 species